rfam:Brachypodium distachyon strain Bd21 chromosome 3, whole genome shotgun sequence.
CUUGUACUCCCUCCGUCCCAUAUUAAGUGAUUCAAAUCUGUCCAAACAUGAAUGUAUCUAUGUCUACAAAGCGUCUAGAUACAUGUAAUAGAAAGUCACUUAAUAUGAGACGGAGGGAGUAACAC